rnacentral:rRNA from 1 species
CGUCACACUGCCAAGAAAAGCUUCUAGCGAUAAGUAUACACUACCCGUACCGCAAACCGACACAGGUAGUCGAGGCGAGUAGCCUCAGGUGAGCGAGAGAACUCUCGUUAAGGAACUCGGCAAAAUGACCCCGUAACUUCGGGAGAAGGGGUGCUGACUUUUAGUCAGCCGCAGUGAAUAGGCCCAAGCAACUGUUUAUCAAAAACACAGCUCUCUGCUAAAUCGUAAGAUGAUGUAUAGGGGGUGACGCCUGCCCGGUGCUGGAAGGUUAAGAGGAGGGUUUAGCGUAAGCGAAGAUCUGAAUUGAAGCCCCAGUAAACGGCGGCCGUAACGAUAACGGUCCUAAGGUAGCGAAAUUCCUUGUCGGGUAAGUUCCGACCCGCACGAAAGGCGUAAUGAUUUGGGCACUGUCUCAACGAGAGACUCGGUGAAAUUUUAGUACCUGUGAAGAUGCAGGUUACCCGCGACAGGACGGAAAGACCCCAUGGAGCUUUACUGCAGUUUGAUAUUGAGUAUCUGUACCACAUGUACAGGAUAGGUAGGAGCCUAUGAAAUCGGGACGCCAGUUUCGAUUGAGGCGCUGUUGGGAUACUACCCUUGUGUUAUGGCUACUCUAACCCGGUAGGUUAAUCAUCUACGGAGACAGUGUCUGACGGGCAGUUUACUGGGGCGGUCGCCUCCUAAAAGGUAACGGAGGCGCCCAAAGGUUCCCUCAGAAUGGUUGGAAAUCAUUCGCAGAGUGUAAAGGUAUAAGGGAGCUUGACUGCGAGAGCUACAACUCGAGCAGGGACGAAAGUCGGGCUUAGUGAUCCGGUGGUUCCGUAUGGAAGGGCCAUCGCUCAACGGAUAAAAGCUACCCUGGGGAUAACAGGCUUAUCUCCCCCAAGAGUUCACAUCGACGGGGAGGUUUGGCACCUCGAUGUCGGCUCGUCGCAUCCUGGGGCUGUAGUCGGUCCCAAGGGUUGGGCUGUUCGCCCAUUAAAGCGGCACGCGAGCUGGGUUCAGAACGUCGUGAGACAGUUCGGUCCCUAUCCGUCGCGGGCGUAGGAAAUUUGAGAGGAUCUGCUCCUAGUACGAGAGGACCAGAGUGGACUUACCGCUGGUGUACCAGUUGUCUCGCCAGAGGCAUCGCUGGGUAGCUAUGUAGGGAAGGGAUAAACGCUGAAAGCAUCUAAGUGUGAAACCCACCUCAAGAUGAGAUUUCCCAUAACAUUAAGUUAGUAAGAGCCCUGAGAGAAGAUCAGGUAGAUAGGUUGGAAGUGGAAGUGUGGCGACACAUGUAGCGGACCAAUACUAAUCGCUCGAGGACUUAUCC